rnacentral:rRNA from 1 species
CCAGACUCCUACGGGAGGCAGCAGUGGGGAAUAUUGCACAAUGGGGGGAACCCUGAUGCAGCGACGCCGCGUGGGCGAGGAAGUAUUUCGGUAUGUAAAGCCCUAUCGGCAGGGAAGAAGAAAUGACGGUACCUGAAGAAGAAGCCCCGGCUAACUACGUGCCAGCAGCCGCGGUAAUACGUAGGGGGCAAGCGUUAUCCGGAUUUACUGGGUGUAAAGGGGGCGCAGACGGCGAUGCAAGCCAGGAGUGAAAGCCCGGGGCCCAACCCCGGGACUGCUCUUGGAACUGCGUGGCUGGAGUGCAGGAGGGGCAGGCGGAAUUCCUGGUGUAGCGGUGAAAUGCGUAGAUAUCAGGAGGAACACCGGUGGCGAAGGCGGCCUGCUGGACUGCAACUGACGUUGAGGCCCGAAAGCGUGGGGAGCAAACAGGAUUAGAUACCCUCGUAA